rnacentral:rRNA from 1 species
UACGGAGGGGACAAGCGUUGCUCGGAAUUACUGGGCGUAAAGCGAGCGUAGGCGGUUAAUCAAGUUGGUGGUGAAAGCCCAGAGCUUAACUCUGGAACUGCCAUCAAAACUGAUUGACUUGAGAUUGGUAGAGGAAAAUGGAAUUCCUAGUGUAGAGGUGAAAUUCGUAGAUAUUGGGAAGAACACCAGUGGCGAAGGCGAUUUUCUGGGCCAAUUCUGACGCUGAGGUUCGAAAGCGUGGGUAGCAAACAGG